GCCCCGAUGGACUAGUGGUAUUGUCGCCCGGUAAAGUUGGAUAUGAGAUAAAUGUGACCCGGGGAAGGGGGGUUCGAUUCCUCCAAGGGGCA